UACUUUGUAUUUAGUUCUGGUAACCAAACCCUUUUCCGGGAGCGGUUUUAAUAGGGAAUCUCGUGAAAAUCGAGAGCUGUCCCCGCAACUGUAAGCAAGCCAGAUUUCUUACCAACCCCUGCCACUGUAAGCCUUGUGUUCACGGGAAGGCGGUAAGAAAGAAGCAAGCCAGGAGACCUGCCAGAAAGCCUCAAAUAAC
rnacentral:ncRNA from 2 species